GCCUAUGCCCAUUUUGGAACGACUGUGCUGCUUUCAUCUGUUCUUGGAAAUGAACCCGUUUGAGGCCUGGCUAGUAUUUAGGUGGGAGACUGCUUAGGAAUCCUGGAGGCUUUACUA
rnacentral:rRNA from 1 species